UACGAAGGGGGCUAGCGUUGUUCGGAAUUACUGGGCGUAAAGCGCGCGCAGGCGGCUAUCCAAGUCAGUGGUGAAAGCCCGGAGCUCAACUCCGGAACUGCCAUUGAAACUGUUUAGCUUGAGGAUGAGAGAGGUGAGUGGAAUUCCCAGUGUAGAGGUGAAAUUCGUAGAUAUUGGGAAGAACACCGGUGGCGAAGGCGGCGACCUGGUCCUUGACUGACGCUGAGGCGCGAAAGCGUGGGAGCAAACAGG
rnacentral:rRNA from 1 species